rnacentral:lncRNA from 1 species
CUGUUAAAUGUUCCUAUUUUACAGUCAGUAUACGCGUCAGUCUAGGAACUCCCCACUUCUCUCUGCCUGGCUCCCCUCCCUCUCCUCAUCCCUACAUCCUUCAUUACUCUUGAGUUCCAGACCUCCUCAGGGAACAUCUGAGGCACAUCAGGACACUAGAGGCCCAGCACAUGUGGAUUCUUCUCCUGAGCGUAUAAACAGCCACGGUGUGAAGCCACAGAUCUGGUUCUGAGCUCUCAAGAUUUAGCAUCUAGAUUUUUAGAGCUGCAGAUAACGAACAAGAGGCUCCACCUGAUGAAAUCCUGGAGUAUGUGGGUAAGCCGAGUGCUGCAGCUGUCUGUUUUGUUGGUGGGACUCUGUCAGGCCCACCGUGCCCCUCCAUCCUCCUCAUCACAGGAGGCAGGUGAGGUCCCCGUGUCCCAGCUGAGGAUGCUGGCGCUGGGAAUGGCUCACCUGCUGCAGGGUGUGGAGGAGAACACCGAGCAGCUUGAGCAGCGGGGCGAGCAGGUGGCAGCAGACAUGGACGGGGCGACAAAGAGUCUGGAGAGCCUUCGUAAGCAGAGUUUACAGGCAGGACGGACCCACAAGCAGGUGAGGAAGGACCUGCAGAUACUGAGUGCCAGGGUGGACAGGCUGUGGAAGGCGGCCAAAGAUCUGCAGAGGGGGCUGGAGGAUGAGGCGAUGGAGCAGGGAGCCAUGCAGCUCCGGAUGAACCGGAUCCUCCAGAAAGUGAAGAUCCUGACCGAUCCGAAGUCAGGAGGUCAAACACAGCUCAACGUCGGCUACAUGAAGGUUAUCAUGGAUAAACAGGCCCGGCGGCUCGCCAGUCUGAGCUCAGCAGUUUCAGCCCGAGACAGAAUGAUUGACAGGCGCCUGCGGCACAUUGACCACCUGGAGAAAAAGGUAUCUAAGAGCCUCCCAGCAGCAGAGGGCAGAUUCUGACUCCGACUGUGUGUUAAGCACAGCUGCAUCAACACAACCAAUACACUCGCAAGGUGCCUCCAGAAUGACUUUGUGAAGCUGACAAAAUGAACUGCUCUGAAACUCACAAAAGGAUUUGUCACAAGCAAUGAAUUUGUGUCAGUUAGAUUAAUACACGUGUUUUACUCUCCAACACAACGAAAAACUGUACAAUAGGUUGUGUUGAAAAACUAUUGUCUGUGUGUGUUGUCCUCAAAAAAACGCACCCUGUUUAAAAUGGUUCAAAAAUAAAACUUUGCUGUUCCCGUGUCAUGUUGUGGCUCUGACUUCCUAACUUGAACUUCACACUCACCCAAAUGAACAGAUGCAUACUGAAGUGACAGCUGAGCGUUUCGUCAUCUAAUCGCGCUUUAACUCUAUGUUUUUGGUGUAAUUAAUUGAACUUGAUAGGUUGUACACAAAUAACACAGUAAUAAGAAUUAUAACAUUUGUUUGUCAAAAUAUUGAGUAAUGUUCAGUUAAGACGGUGCAAUAUUUUUUCAGUAUUUGACAAUAAAAGUAAAAUAUUCUGUGAUUUCACAAGUGGUUCAUGUUGUUCUUUAAGUCUACAUACUGUGUCAAAGCAAAACAGUUGCAUAACUUCACAUCUAAAUGUCCUUAUGAGUGGCUCUUUAUGUUAGACUUGAGCCUCUCUGUGGAGUUAUCAGAUAAUGAUCAAGGGCAGUGCUGUAAUUUCCUCUUGCAUUCAACUUU